AAAAUGUGAGGGUGUCACAAAACACCCUGUAUAAUACAGUUGCCAAGACAACUAAAAACUGAGCUCUGACUAUAGUAAACUAGAAAAAUCAGUUAAUCAUAUUCUGAAAAAACUAUCCCAAUAUCUUUUUUCUUCUUAAAAAUAUUUCAAUUUGAAUUUACCCCAAAAAUUAACUUGUCUCGUUUAUUUUGUCCACUAGUUUAGAUUGUUUUUAUUUAGGUAAGAUACAAAAGACAGUUGAAUGGUCUCGAGUACAAGCAUACCAGCGGCUGACUAAAUCUUUAAUUAAUAAAAAAAAUAUUAAAUUAAUUAUAAAUUUAUUAGGUGAAAUUUUAAAUUUAUUUAAAUUUAUUAAUUUUUGUGAGGUUGGGAAAUUUUUUUUUAAACUAGGAUUAGAUACCCUAUUAUUUAAAAUGUAAAUAAAAAAUGCUUAAUUAGUAUUAGUUAUGUUCUUGAAAAUCAAAAAAUUUGGCGGUAUUUUAGUCUAUUCAGAGGAAUCUGUUCUAUAAUCGAUGAUCCACGAGUUUAAGAACUUAGUCUAUAGUUUAUAUAUCGUUGUAAGUUGAAUUUUUUAUUAGAAUUUUAAUAUUCAAGAUUUUUUUAAAAAAAUAAAUCAGAUCAAGGUGUAGCUUAUGAAUAAGGAGAGAUGGAUUACAAUAAAUUUAUUUAUAGAUGAAUAUAUUAGUUUAAAUAAUGUUGAAGGUGGAUUUGAGAGUAAUUUUAAUUUAACUAUUAAAGUGAUUUUAGCUCUAAAAUAUGUACAUAUCGCCCGUCGCUUUCACUACAAAGUGGAAUAAGUCGUAACAAAGUAGGUGUACUGGAAAGUGUGCCUAGAACAAC
rnacentral:rRNA from 1 species